AGGAGAGGAAAGGGGAGGAAAUAGGAGAGGGGGGAGAAGGGGAGAGGAGAGGGGGGAGAAGAGGAGAGGAAAGACUAGAGGGGGAGAAGGGGAGAAGGGGAGAAGAGGAGAGGGGGAGAAAAGAGGAGAGAGAGAAGAGGAGGAUGGGAGAAGGGGAGAGGAGGUACUGUUUGUCUCCGACCGUUCCACUCAGAGGACUCUACCUUCUGUUAUCAAUCCUGCGUCUGUGACACCAGAUUGCCACCUAGUGGCCAUAAGAGGAACUGUCCUGUCAGUGUGUUUUCACUGCUGGCUCAAAACAACACAUGACCUGCAUACAUGAUAUGACUCGUACUACUGCACUACUUCUGAAGAAGACCAGAGUCAUUUCAGAAUGAAGACUGCUAUAGUUCUGAUGGUGUUGCUGUUCUGUCUGUCUGGGGCCUGGACUCAGGGAGAGAGUGGAGGGGUGACUAGUAGGUCUGUCUGUCUGUCUGUCUGUCUGUCUGUCUGUCUGUCUGUCUGUCUGUCUGUCUGUCUGUCUGUCUGUCUGUCUGUCUGUCUGUCUGUCUGUCUGUCUGUCUGUCUGUCUGUCUGUCUGUCUGCACUAUAUACACCAAAUCAACAAAAGUAUGUGGACACCUGCUCGUCAAACAUCUCAUUCCAAAAUCAUGGGCAUUUGCAUGGAGUUGGUCCCCCUUUUUGCUGCUAUAACAGCCUCCGCUCUUCUGGGAAGGCUUUCCACUAGAUUUUGGAACAUUGCUGCUGGGACUUGCUUCCAUUCAG
rnacentral:lncRNA from 1 species